rnacentral:rRNA from 1 species
UACGUAGGGGGCAAGCGUUGUUCGGAAUUACUGGGCGUAAAGGGCGCGUAGGCGGCAUGGCAAGUCGGGAGUGAAAGCCCGGGGCUCAACCCCGGAACUGCUUUCGAAACUGCCAAGCUAGAGUACGGAAGGGGCAACUGGAAUUCCCAGUGUAGCGGUGAAAUGCGUAGAUAUUGGGAAGAACACCGGAGGCGAAGGCGGGUUGCUGGGCCGAUACUGACGCUGAGGCGCGAAAGCCAGGGGAGCAAAC